AUUUUUCCCAAAAUAACUAUCAAAAAUCAUGUAUCAAACAAUUUUUUAUACAUUUUGUGCCACUUGACUUUUGAAACAGUUACGGCAGGAUAUAUACAUCAUUGGUCAAGCUUGUGCAUAUCAUUGAAGAAGCCCUUAUCCCUCACUUAUUCGUCAUAAAGAUGAUUGUCAGUCUACCUGGAGACAAUGGCUAGCUGUGACAAUGUUUGAACAUCUUGCCGUUGCUUAACUGAUAGCAGCCAGGGGAACUUUUUGCCUCAAUCAGCUCCCAAUUCUCGACUGGGAAUCACCAGAGCAGGUCCAGGCAACCAGAACUGAAAUUGAUAGAGAAGAGACGUGCUGAUAAAGAAAUCCACAGCUGAAAUCACUUUCAUGAAGUGCAGGUUCCCCCCAUUCAGAUCGGAUGAUCCAUCAUACUUAUUCGCGACGCGUCAUCAGCGUUCCAUCUACUUGGGAGUAUGUGAGGAAUGUAAGAUCGACUCUUUGUGCUUUUUGUUGGAAUUAGAUUCCCCCGUGAGCAGUUUCAUUCAUUAAUGGAAUCAUAGUACUAUGAUUCAAU
rnacentral:lncRNA from 1 species